rnacentral:rRNA from 1 species
GUGGUCAUGGAAGUCGAAAUCCGCUAAGGAGUGUGUAACAACUCACCUGCCGAAUCAAGUAGCCCUGAAAAUGGAUGGCGCUCAAGCGAAUUACCGAUACUCAGCCAUCUGUGCUUUUGUGAUGCAUAGAUGAGUAGGAGGGCGUGACGGUGGUGCCGAAGGUGUGGCGGUGACGUCCACUUGAACCACCGUUAGUGCAGAUCUUGGUGUUAGUAGCAAAUAUUCAAAUGAAAACUUUGAAGACCGAAGUGGAGAAAGGUUUCACGUGAAGUUUAAUGCGACGUGAGUGACCCAGUCCUAAUCGUCUCCUGAAAUGGUUUGAACGGCACUUAUGUGCUAUUACGAGAAAGGGAAUCCGGUUAAUAUUCCGGAGGUGCAAUCAAGUUGCUUAGUGGUAACACAGUAGAACUGGGUGACGCCAGCGAGGGCCCUGGAAAGAGUUUUCUUUUCUUUUUAACAAAUUGCGCAACUAUGGAAUGGGAUUAUCCCGAGAGGUAGUUGUGUGUUUGGCAAAGCAGACGACCUUCUCGUUUGUCCGGUGCGCUCUCGAUGGUCCUUGAAAAGCCUGGGGAUUAUAUGCAACGGAGUUGUAGCUGUACUCAUAACCGCAUCAGGUCUCCAAGGUGAAUAGCCUCUGGUCGAUGUGAUAAUGUAGGUAAGGGAAGUCGGCAAAUUAGGUCUGUAACUUCGGGAAAAGGACUGGCUCUUAGGACAGGGUGUAUGAGGCUUCCUGUUAAAUCGUUCGGGCGUUGAAGUUUGGCUAACUCCUCACGGGGUAGGCCGAACGGCAACGACUGUCCGAGGAAACUGGAAGAUGCUUCGGCGAUCUCUGCACGCUUAACUGUUAACUGAGAACUGGCGCGGACAAGGGGAAUCCGACUGUUUAAUUAAAACAAAGCAUUCUGAUGGUCGGAAACGAUGUUGACAGAAUGUGAUUUCUGCCCAGUGCUCUGAAUGUCAAAGUGAUGAAAUUCAAUUAAGCGCGGGUAAACGGCGGGAGUAACUAUGACUCUCUUAAGGUAGCCAAAUGCCUCGUCAUCUAAUUAGUGACGCGCAUGAAUGGAUUAACGAGAUUCCCACUGUCCCUACCUACUACACAGUGAAACCACAGCCAAGGGAACGGGCUUGGGUGUUACGGCGGGGAAAGAAGACCCUGUUGAGCUUGACUCUAGCCAGACUUUGUGAGGUGACAUAAGAGGUGCAGCAUAAGUGGGAGAGUAAUCGUCCUUGAGAUACCACUACUCUUGUCGUUGUCUUACUUAUACAUUUAGUAAGCGACAGAACUCAAACGUUCUGCUUAUAGUCUUAAGUACCUUCGGGUGCGAGCUUGGAUGUUGACAGUGUCUGACGGGGAGUUUGGCUGGGGCGGCACAUCUGUUAAAUGAUAACACAGGUGACCCAAGAUCAGCUCAGCGAGAACAGAAAUCUCGCGUAGAGUCUAAGGGCAAAAGCUGAUUUGACUUUCACCUCCAGUGACGGUGGAAGCUGUGAAAGCAUGGCCUAGCGAACCAUCAGUGCGUGGAUAUUACGCCUGGUGCUGUCAGAAAAGUUACCACAGGGAUAACUGGCUUGUGGCAGCCAAGCGUUCAUAGCGACGUUGCUUUUUGAUUCUUCGAUGUCGGCUCUUCCUAUCCCUAAGUCGCAUAAGGCUUAAACGGUAAGAUUGUUCACCUACUAACAGGGAACGUGAGCUGGGUUUAGACCGUCGCGAGACAGGUUAGUUUUAUCCUACUGUAACGUAUUUAUCUCGAUAGUACCGCAACUCAGUACGAGAGGAACCGUUGUGGCGAGUAACCGGUAAAUGCCGUUGCCCGAGAGGACAAUGCGGCGAAGCUGCCACUCGUGGGAUAAUAGCUGAACGCCUCUAAGCUAGAAACCCUACUAGCACAGAUGAUAACAGUUGCUAAUCACAUUGUGUUCAAAUAACUCUUAUGAGUAUACCAAUCUUCAUCUUAUGUGGUUCGUAGCUUUAGAUCCUUUGUAGACGACUUAAAUGAAGCAGGUAUUGUACGUGUUAGAGUCGGCUCGAUUCCGACGAUACAUUGAGAUUCAACCUGUCUUCUUAGAUUUGCCUAACUAAA